rnacentral:rRNA from 1 species
AGGGUUCGAUUCUGGCUCAGAACGAACGCUGGCGGCGCGUCUUAAGCAUGCAAGUCGAACGGCAAGAGGUAGCAAUACCUCCUAGAGUGGCGGACUGGUGAGUAACACGUGGGUGACAUACCCUUCAGAUGGGGAUAGCUAUUAGAAAUAGUAGAUAAUACCGAAUACGAGCACAGGGGUUAGAGAUCUGUGAGGAAAGGAGCUAAGGCUCCGCUGAAGGAAUGGCCUGCGGCCCAUUAGCUAGUUGGUGAGGUAAGAGCCCACCAAGGCGAUGAUGGGUAUCCGGCCUUAGAGGGUGAACGGACACAUUGGGACUGAGAUACGGCCCAGACUCCUACGGGAGGCAGCAGCUAAGAAUAUUCCGCAAUGGACGAAAGUCUGACGGAGCGACGCCGCGUGGAUGAAGAAGGCCGGAAGGUUGUAAAAUCCUUUUGAAACUGAAGAAUAAGCGUUGUAGGGAAUGACAGCGUGGUGACAGUAGGUUUUGAAUAAGCAACGGCUAAUUACGUGCCAGCCGCCGC